UAAGUGAAUUCGAGCAGCUUGUCUUG
rnacentral:piRNA from 1 species